UAGGCUGAAACUCGCCUACAUGAAGCUGGAGUUACUAGUAAUCGCAGAUCAGAAUGCUGCGGUGAAUGCGUUCCCGGGUCUUGUACACACCGCCCGUCAAGCCAUGGGAGCCGGGGGCGCCUGAAGUCCGGGACCGCGAGGACCGGCCUAGGGCGAAACUGGUAACUGGGGCUAAGUCGUAACAAGGUAAC
rnacentral:rRNA from 1 species